rnacentral:rRNA from 1 species
GCGGUGCAUUAGCUAGUUGGUAAGGUAACGGCUUACCAAGGCGACGAUGCAUAGCCGAGUUGAGAGACUGAUCGGCCACAUUGGGACUGAGACACGGCCCAAACUCCUACGGGAGGCAGCAGUAGGGAAUCUUCCACAAUGGGCGAAAGCCUGAUGGAGCAACGCCGCGUGAGUGAAGAAGGUUUUCGGAUCGUAAAGCUCUGUUGUUGGUGAAGAAGGAUAGAGGUAGUAACUGGCCCCUAUUUGACGGUAAUCAACCAGAAAGUCACGGCUAACUACGUGCCAGCAGCCGCGGUAAUACGUAGGUGGCAAGCGUUGUCCGGAUUUAUUGGGCGUAAAGCGAGCGCAGGCGGAAAGAUAAGUCUGAUGUGAAAGCCCCCGGCUUAACCGAGGAAUUGCAUCGGAAACUGUGUUUCUUGAGUGCAGAAGAGGAGAGUGGAACUCCAUGUGUAGCGGUGGAAUGCGUAGAUAUAUGGAAGAACACCAGUGGCGAAGGCGGCUCUCUGGUCUGUAACUGACGCUGAGGCUCGAAAGCAUGGGUAGCGAACAGGAUUAGAUACCCUGGUAGUCCAUGCCGUAAACGAUGAGUGCUAAGUGUUGGGAGGUUUCCGCCUCUCA